rnacentral:rRNA from 1 species
UACGUAGGGGGCGAGCGUUGUCCGGAAUCAUUGGGCGUAAAGCGCGCGCAGGCGGUCCUUUAAGUCUGAUGUGAAAGCCCACGGCUCAACCGUGGAGGGUCAUUGGAAACUGGGGGACUUGAGUGCAGAAGAGGAAAGCGGAAUUCCACGUGUAGCGGUGAAAUGCGUAGAGAUGUGGAGGAACACCAGUGGCGAAGGCGGCUUUCUGGUCUGUAACUGACGCUGAGGCGCGAAAGCGUGGGGAGCAAACAGG